AGUGAACGCUGGCGGUAGGCCUAACACAUGCAAGUCGAACGGCAGCACAGUAAGAGCUUGCUCUUACGGGUGGCGAGUGGCGGACGGGUGAGGAAUACAUCGGAAUCUACUUUUUCGUGGGGGAUAACGUAGGGAAACUUACGCUAAUACCGCAUACGACCUACGGGUGAAAGCAGGGGAUCUUCGGACCUUGCGCGAUUGAAUGAGCCGAUGUCGGAUUAGCUAGUUGGCGGGGUAAAGGCCCACCAAGGCGACGAUCCGUAGCUGGUCUGAGAGGAUGAUCGGCAACACUGGAACUGGGACAGGGUCCAGACUCCUACGGGAGGCAGCAGUGGGGAAUAUUGGACAAUGGGCGCAAGCCUGAUCCAGCCAUACCGCGUGGGUGAAGAAGGCCUUCGGGUUGUAAAGCCCUUUUGUUGGGAAAGAAAAGCAGCAGGCUAAUACCCCGCUGUUCUGACGGUACCCAAAGAAUAAGCACCGGCUAACUUCGUG
rnacentral:rRNA from 1 species